AGCAUUAAUAAAUCAUAAAGAGAUAAAGUAAUAUCCUAUUUGAUACAUCUUGAGGAACCAAAAUGGUUAAAAUUGUCAAAUUUGCGCAUGUUAUAAUUAUCUUUCUCACUUUAUAUCUUGUCGCAGUGAUAGCAAAAUUGGAGGGUGAUGAUUGUCUUGCUAAUGUUGAUUGUGAAUGCGACCAUCCAUUGAUACCUGAGUGUAUUUUUAACUUGUGUAAGUGUAUUUUGUUAGAAGUAACUCAUAUUCAAAAACAGUACUGUUAAUCAAAAGUCGAAGUUUUUGAGGUUGUUGUUUCAAAAAUUAUGCUUAGUUUAUGGGUUUUAGUUUGUUUUGUUAGCUUGUUUUAGCAAUGUUUGUGUGACAUAGUUUACUUACGUAUCAUUUUGAUUUUGGUGUA